rnacentral:rRNA from 1 species
GACGAACGCUGGCGGCGUGCUUAACACAUGCAAGUCGAACGAUGAACCCGGAGCUUGCUCCGGUGGAUUAGUGGCGAACGGGUGAGUAACACGUGAGUAACCUGCCCUUGACUCUGGGAUAACUGCGGGAAACUGUAGCUAAUACCGGAUACGACCCUCGGCGGCAUCGCCAGGGGGUGGAAAGAAUUUCGGUCAAGGAUGGACUCGCGGCCUAUCAGCUAGGUGGUGAGGUAACGGCUCACCAAGGCGACGACGGGUAGCCGGCCUGAGAGGGUGACCGGCCACACUGGGACUGAGACACGGCCCAGACUCCUACGGGAGGCAGCAGGGGGGAAUAUUGCACAAUGGGCGCAAGCCUGAUGCAGCAACGCCGCGUGAGGGAUGACGGCCUUCGGGUUGCAAACCUCUUUUAGUAGGGAAGAAGCGAAAGUGACGGUACCUGCAGAAAAAGCACCGGCUAACUACGUGCCAGCCGCCGCCGUAA